AUCCAACUGACGAGUGCCAAAUAGGACGAAACGUGCUUCCUCGAU
rnacentral:hammerhead_ribozyme from 1 species